GCAGCUGGAGGUCAGAAAUCAGCCCACGUUUAGAAAUGAAGAAAGGCAGCAUGGUGGGGCAUGGCUGCCCGCAUUCACUGCUCCAGGGCUGGUCACUUCGGCCUGCAGCAGGCUGGCUUAAGGCAAACUAUCUGUAAAUUGUAACAUUCACUUAUGGCAGCUGUAGACUGUUGCACGUAGGCUGGAUGCGUGGCCAUGGUGAAGGAGCUGGAGCUGUCACCAUGGGGUGACCACGAGCCCUAUACACAGCUGUCACCCAGUGGAAAACCUGUUUUUUCAUGUCACUGUAUCAUGUUUCUUGCAGAAAAACCACUCAUGGCACCUAGCAGGGCUGAUCUGGAGUCCUAGAGAGGUUUGUUAAAAAACGAGUGUGAAAUAGGAAGGCAUGGGUUGACUUCCCCUCACCCUACAGAACACCGGGGUGCCUGUGGGGCAGCGGGUGCAUCCCCCGGUGCAGGCCGCACUCGCCGUUUCCAUGGCAACGCGAGGAGGCUGGUGGCUGCCUGCUCCUCACAGUGCAGAAUGCUGGGUUUUGUCCAUCGGCUGAAGGCGGCGAUCCUGCCCUAAUGACAAAAGUGGGCAAAUUAUUUAGAAGGACACUCAGGAGAAAAAGCCACUUGUUAGUGUUUUACCUACCAGCGUCUGGGGGGAUCCCUUCACCAUGGUGAGGGAAAGAGUGGCGAAUCUGAUAAAGGUGACACAAACUGUUAGAAGAACUGGUGGCAUCGAGGAAGGCCUGAUGCUGCCAUUCGACUGGAGUGGAAGAGUUUGCAGGCUGUCUGUUGUGAGGAAAUCCCUGCGGCUGUGGUUCAGCACCUGUAGUGUGCAGAAAUUAGCAACAAAGUCAGCAAAAAACUGGAACCUAUGCUAGGCCUUGAUUCAAGAUGUUUGACA
rnacentral:lncRNA from 1 species